rnacentral:rRNA from 1 species
UACGGAGGGUGCAAGCGUUGUCCGGAAUUAUUGGGCGUAAAGAGCUCGUAGGCGGUUUGUCGCGUCUGCUGUGAAAACCUCAGGCUCAACCUGGGGCUUGCAGUGGGUACGGGCAGACUAGAGUGCGGUAGGGGAGACUGGAAUUCCUGGUGUAGCGGUGAAAUGCGCAGAUAUCAGGAGGAACACCGGUGGCGAAGGCGGGUCUCUGGGCCGUAACUGACGCUGGAGGAGCGAAAGCGUGGGGAGCGAACAGG